GGUUGCUGGGCCUGUGUGCUCAGGGCAGUCUCUCCAAAGGCACAGAUGGGGUUUCUGAACAGGACCUGGGGAGACAGGCAGGUGCUCACAAAUGCUGCUUCCCCCAACUGGCAACCAGUGAGAAAAAUGCCUGAGUGGAGGUCUGACCUGCCCCAGUCUGGAGGACUGAUGCUCUCUGGAAAGCCAAAUGGGAACAGGCAGGCAGGAGAGUGUCUCAUCUCGAAAGAAGUGGCUCCUGGAAGCAGCUGGGAGGCCUUUUUUCCACGUGCCAGCUACAGGCCCAGGUUUCCCGAGUUUCUGGAGCCCCUCUUCCAGCCUGGCAAGCAAGGUGUGUCGUAGGGGAAGGACAUCAAGCCUACAGGCAGCAGAGUAUGUUCUCUACCCCUGGAGGCCCCUGGUUGUUUACCUCUUUGGGUGAGAGUCGGGUUAGGAUCUCAACAUUCUUGUAGGACUUCAGAACUGUACAGACAGGGGCCCAGGAGGGAACAGGGGCUGGGACUGGCAGCUAACCAGAGUGGUGGGGGUUGUAGGGCUCAGUUUGGUCUUGCAGGGAAUUCAGGGAGGCUUGGAUUUGCUGAAGCUCUAGAUGAGCUUGGGCUUGGAUAUGGAAAC
rnacentral:lncRNA from 1 species